AGUGAGGGAGGGAGAGGGUGACUAGUGACAGAGUGAGGGAGGGAGAGGGUGACUAGUGACAGAGUGAGGAAGGGGGUGACACAGUGAUAGUCACCCCAUUCCUCCCUCUGUCACUAAUCACCACCUCCCUCACUCUCACUAGUCACCCCUUCCCUCCCUCACUCUGUCACUAGUCACACCCUCCCUCUCUCUGUCACU